GACGAACGCUGGCGGCGUGCUUAACACAUGCAAGUCGAGCGGUAAGGCCCUUUCGGGGGUACACGAGCGGCGAACGGGUGAGUAACACGUGGGUGACCUGCCCUCAGCUCUGGGAUAAGCCUGGAAACCGGGUCUAAUACUGGAUAUGACUCCAUGACGCAUGUUGUGGGGUGGAAAGCCUUGUGCGGCUGAGGAUGGGCCCGCGGCCUAUCAGCUUGUUGGUGGGGUGANGGCCUACCAAGGCGACGACGGGUAGCCGGCCUGAGAGGGCGACCGGCCACACUGGGACUGAGACACGGCCCAGACUCCUACGGGAGGCAGCAGUGGGGAAUCUUGCGCAAUGGGCGAAAGCCUGACGCAGCGACGCCGCGUGA
rnacentral:rRNA from 1 species